UACGAAGGGGGCUAGCGUUGCUCGGAAUCACUGGGCGUAAAGCGCACGUAGGCGGCUUCUUAAGUCGGGGGUGAAAUCCUGGAGCUCAACUCCAGAACUGCCUUCGAUACUGGGGAUCUUGAGUCCGAGAGAGGUGAGUGGAACUCCGAGUGUAGAGGUGAAAUUCGUAGAUAUUCGGAAGAACACCAGUGGCGAAGGCGGCUCACUGGCUCGGUACUGACGCUGAGGUGCGAAAGCGUGGGGAGCAAACAGG
rnacentral:rRNA from 1 species